rnacentral:rRNA from 1 species
UCCGGAGGGUGCAAGCGUUAAUCGGAAUUACUGGGCGUAAAGCGCACGCAGGCGGUUUGUUAAGUCAGAUGUGAAAUCCCCAGGCUCAACCUGGGAACUGCAUCUGAUACUGGCAAGCUUGAGUCUCGUAGAGGGGGGUAGAAUUCCAGGUGUAGCGGUGAAAUGCGUAGAGAUCUGGAGGAAAACCGGUGGCGAAGGCGGCCCCCUGGACGAAGACUGACGCUCAGGUGCGAAAGCGUGGGGAGCAAACAGG